rnacentral:tRNA from 1 species
CUCUCCUUAGCUCAGUCUGGUAGAGCGUCCCGUUUGGGGCGGGAAGGUCAAACGUUCGAAUCGUUUAGGGGAGA